AUACGUAGGGGGCUAGCGUUAUCCGGAUUUACUGGGCGUAAAGGGUGCGUAGGUGGUUCUUAAGUCAGGAGUGAAAGGCUACGGCUCAACCGUAGUAAGCCUUUGAAACUGGGAAACUUGAGUGCAGGAGAGGAGAGUGGAAUUCCUAGUGUAGCGGUGAAAUGCGUAGAUAUUAGGAGGAACACCAGUGGCGAAGGCGACUUGCUGGGCCGUAACUGACGCUGAGGCGCGAAAGCGUGGGGAGC
rnacentral:rRNA from 1 species